rnacentral:rRNA from 1 species
AACGAACGUUAGCGGCGCGCUUAACACAUGCAAGUCGUGCGAGAAAGGGAGCAAUCCCCGGUACAGUGGCGCACGGGUGAGUAACACGUAGAUGACCUUCCCUGGAGUGGUGGAUAACCUGCCGAAAGGCGGGCUAAUACAGCAUGGGACCACAUGGUUUUGACCGAGUGGUGAAAGCGGGCCUCUGUUCACAAGCUCGCGCUCUGGGAUGGGUCUGCGUCCCAUCAGCUAGUUGGUGAGGUAAUGGCUCACCAAGGCAUCGACGGGUAGCUGGUCUGAGAGGAUGACCAGCCACACUGGAACUGAGACACGGUCCAGACUCCUACGGGAGGCAGCAGUGGGGAAUCUUGCGCAAUGGGCGAAAGCCUGACGCAGCGACGCCGCGUGGGUGAUGAAGGCCUCGGUUG